rnacentral:rRNA from 1 species
UACGUAGGGGGCUAGCGUUGUCCGGAAUCAUUGGGCGUAAAGCGCGUGUAGGCGGUCCGGUAAGUCCGCUGUGAAAGUCGGGGGCUCAACCCUCGAAUGCCGGUGGAUACUGUCGGGCUAGAGUGCGGAAGAGGCUAGUGGAAUUCCUGGUGUAGCGGUGAAAUGCGCAGAUAUCAGGAGGAACACCGGUGGCGAAGGCGGUGGUCUGGGCCGGCACUGACGCUGAGGAGCGAAAGCGUCGGGGAGCGAACAGG